AACGAACGCUGGCGGCAGGCCUAACACAUGCAAGUCGAGCGAAGCCUUCGGGCUUAGCGGCGGACGGGUGAGUAACGCGUGGGAAUCUGCCCUUGGGUUCGGAAUAACGUCGGGAAACUGACGCUAAUACCGGAUGAUGACGUAAGUCCAAAGAUUUAUCGCCCAGGGAUGAGCCCGCGUAGGAUUAGCUAGUUGGUGGGGUAAAGGCCUACCAAGGCGACGAUCCUUAGCUGGUCUGAGAGGAUGAUCAGCCACACUGGGACUGAGACACGGCCCAGACUCCUACGGGAGGCAGCAGUAGGGAAUAUUGGACAAUGGGGGCAACCCUGAUCCAGCAAUGCCGCGUGAGUGAUGAAGGCCUUAGGGUUGUAAAGCUCUUUUACCCGGGAUGAUAAUGACAGUACCGGGAGAAUAAGCCCCGGCUAACUCCGUACCAGCCGCCGCGGUAA
rnacentral:rRNA from 1 species